CCAAACCGUAAAAAAGCCCAAUCACCCCUUUAACCCAAAACGCACGUUUUGCAUCAGAGUAAAAACGCAUCAGAGUAAAACCAAGCCUUCAACCAGAAGGUUCUUCAUCUGUCAGAUGGUUGGUGAGCAACAGAGCUUCGGGUAGAGUGAGGUCUUCAAGGAGAACGGGAGUGGAGCAAAGUGAAGGCCUUCCUGGGNGGAUCUGCAACAGAUCAAGCAGUUCACCUCUCACAGAUGAAGCACCGAGUAAGAAAGGAAGGAGAAGAUCGAAAGAAGAAAAAGAUCGAGAGAAAAAGGUAAGUGCAAGAACUCAGUCUCGUAUAUUCAUGUAUGUAUAAUAUGGUGUGUGUCUCUUGAAAUAAAAUGUACAAGGGAACUCUAUUUAUAGAGUUCUGAAAAGGGAAAAGAAAGCUAACACAAAAGAGGGUGUGGUUACUGUGUGAAAACGGUAACCCCCCAAACAAACAAACAGAAUAAUAAUAACAAACAGAAUAAUAAUCCUAAUAGCCCCCCCUCAAGCUGGAUGGUGUAUGGUCACCAAUCCAAGCUUGCUAACAAUAGAUUUGAACCGAACACGAUGAGGGCACUUUGUAAAAAUGUCCGCUAGUUGUUCCUCUGAGCUAAUAGGGAGAAGAUGUAGAAGGUUAGCCUGUAUCUUCUCGCGAAC
rnacentral:lncRNA from 1 species